GUGAAUCAUCGAAUCUUUGAACGCAUAUUGCACUCUCUGGUAUUCCGGAGAGUAUGCCUGUUUGAGGGUAAUUAAAAAGAAUCUUUAUCAAUUUUUUUGGCCAAAGGAAAUGAGUUCUCCGCGUUUAUAGCGGUAGCUGGAAAUAAAUUGUCAAGACUCAUUUUAGUCGUUAUGUGUAAUGAUAUUAUUUCUCGAUAUCUUCAUUAUGUGACUAUCAUGUUUUGACGCAUACGAAUUUGGUCUGUUUGCGAUCAAUACAAAUAUUUUUAACAUUACCUCAGAUCGGGUAG
rnacentral:misc_RNA from 1 species